UCCGAAUUGAAUUCGGCGAGGUCACGUUCCUUAAUCUGAGGAUCACGGUUUCGCUCACUUUCGUCCGAACCGCAGAUAACAGUGGAAGGGUCUUGCUUUGUUCGUGUAAUCGUAAUUCAUUUUUUUCGAUAGUUGUGCAAAAAUAUAGUGUGCGUCGUAGGCUAGAUUUGUGUGCUCUUAAUCAAUCUAGGCCAGCCGACGGCUAUAUAUCUCUUCCC